rnacentral:rRNA from 1 species
GACGAACGCUGGCGGCGUGCCUAAUACAUGCAAGUUGAGCGCUGAAGGUUGGUACUUGUACCAACUGGAUGAGCAGCGAACGGGUGAGUAACGCGUGGGGAAUCUGCCUUUGAGCGGGGGACAACAUUUGGAAACGAAUGCUAAUACCGCAUAAAAACUUUAAACACAAGUUUUAAGUUUGAAAGAUGCAAUUGCAUCACUCAAAGAUGAUCCCGCGUUGUAUUAGCUAGUUGGUGAGGUAAAGGCUCACCAAGGCGAUGAUACAUAGCCGACCUGAGAGGGGGAUCGGCCACAUUGGGACUGAGACACGGCCCAAACUCCUACGGGAGGAAGCAGUAGGGAAUCUUCGGCAAUGGACGAAAGUCUGACCGAGCAACGCCGCGGGAGGGAAGAAGGUUGUCGGAUCGUAAAAAUCGGUUGGUAGAGAAGAACGUUGGUGAGAGUGGAAAGCUCAUCAAGUGACGGUAACUACCCAGAAAGGGACGGCUAACUACGUG